rnacentral:tRNA from 2 species
GCCGGGGUGGCCGAGCGGCCCAAGGCGCGGGACUCGAGAUCCCGUCCCCGUCAAGGGGGCGUGGGUUCAAAUCCCACCCCCGGCGCCA